CUUAUACGUAUAUUUACCAUUCGAAUUCUUGAUGGUGAACUUGUGUUCAUUCGUCAAAGUAGUAGAAAUACAUCAUCCAAGACAUAAGACUUGUUACGAUUCUAAUGAAUAUACUACUCAUGAAAACAUUAACCCUUGAGGUUUCAUAGUGUCAAGAACAAGUACUUGAUGUUGAAGGAUGAUUACUUUCGUAUACAUAUGUUCUCGUGUUUUAAUUUCUUAAAUCCUUAAUCUACCGUUAAUCUCCGUUACUCAUACACCUUGUUUCUUCGCAUAGAAGGACUUGGUGUUCCAACCUCCUAAUCAACAACAACCCACUCGCGGAUUCACAAGUAGAAGGCUUGCAAAACCUAAUGCAGGUUGAGGAUGAUGAUGCUAUGAAAUGAAGUAGCGUUGAUGCCUAGAUACACAUAUAGACGUUUAGGUUUAAUCGUUAUAUC
rnacentral:lncRNA from 1 species